AAUAAGGUGGCUGAGAUUUAGGCAUUAGAUUGUAAAUCUAAAAACGGAAUAAUUUCCUCUUAUU
rnacentral:tRNA from 1 species